rnacentral:rRNA from 1 species
CAUCGACGAGGAGGUUUGGCACCUCGAUGUCGGCUCAUCACAUCCUGGGGUUGUAGCAGAUCCCAAGGGUUUGGCUGUUCGCCAAUUAAAGUGGUACGUGAGCUGGGUUUAAAACGUCGUGAGACAGUUUGGUCCCUAUCUGCUGUGGGCGCAGGAAAUUUGAGAGGGCCUGACCUUUGUACGAGAGGACCGGGUUGGACAAACCACUGGUGCACCAGUUGUCUCACCAGAGGCACGGCUGGGUAGCUAUGUUUGGAAGGGAUAACCGCUGAAAGCAUCUAAGCGGGAAGCCUGCCUCAAGAUAAGAUUUCCCUGAAGGACCCCGGAAGACCACCGGGUAGAUAUACCGAUUGUGUAAGCACAGUAAUGUGUUCAGCUUAUCGGCAAUAAUUGUCCGUUCGGCUUUCUAUU